ensembl:lincRNA
AGAGAAGCCAGAUGGCCCUCAGAGCCAGGACCAGGAUGCCCUCAGCUGCCCUCCAAACUCUCCCAUACUUCCUUUCUGCCCCGUGAGCUGACUGGGGGUCCUGGCCUGCCUCCUGCCUCUGCAAGCCUGAAGAGGGGAAGGGGUCAGAGGCAGGCUUUAUGUUGUAGUCAGCCUUCAGGCAAAGGGUGCCUUCUUUCACAGAGACCCCUAGACUCCUUUCUGCUCUCAAUAGAUGACUCCCUUGUCCCCCUCACCACGCUGGCCCAGGGCAGAAGCAGGCAAAGCUCAAGUUCCUCAUACAACCACAUGUCUCCCAGCGCUGCCCACCUGGAGACAUCCGCCUGGCUGCCACCCACAAGUGUGUGUCUCCCCAGAUGCAUGACUGUGAUUCCUUCUGCCGACCAGGUAGUGGGGAGCUCAGCGCUGACCUGGGCAUCUGCCAGUGCCGGGCGUAUGUCUCAGCUGAAGAGCUCUGUGACACCCAGUGUCUAGCUACAGCCCCUCAGCUUUCCUUGGCCUGGAGCUCCAGCAAGAAGUUAAUACUCAGCAUUAAGAAGAAGGCAGGGAAUAUCAUCCAGAGGGAGGUCUCUAGUACUCUGGGCCCUGACCAGCCCUUCCCAGGGAGUGCCAGAGUCUACUUGAUCGAGUUUGGCCCCCACGGAAUCUUUGGCUUCAUCAUCUCCAGUGUGGACAUGGUUGGCUCCUUCCUCCAAGGAACCCCUGCACCCAGUACCCAGCCUCAGAGACUCUAUCCAACCACAGGCCCAAGGCACCCCUACAUUAGUCCCCACAUUCCAAACCCAGUGGUCUGCCUGGCAGCAGGGGAUGUGAUCCUCUUCCAGCUCCAUAUUCUCCCCCACAACCGUUCAGCUAGUCACUACCCUGUGUACCAGAGGCAGCAUCUGCUCAAUAGCAACCCCCACUGGGACUUUGGAGCCUUCAGAAGACUCUGCCACCUGGUACAAGAGACACAGUUCAACCUCUCAAGGUUUGCCCACCGGUUCCUAGAUCCAGGCACAUAUGUAUUUCGUGACAAUGGGCAGUCUGAGAGCAUUGCUGUGGUGCAUGUGCAGGAAGAGGGGGCAGUCUGCAGCCCUGGUCUGGCCCCCAUUCAACCCUCCUCCCCAUAUCAACUUGGCAGGCUUGGCAUCCUCCGGCGAGAGCUGCUUCUGGCCCCAGAUUGGGCAGCAAUCACCGGUAUUAACCUGGAUAGGGCAGCCAGGACUGAGGGUCUGGAGGGCCUCUGUGUAGCAGUGCCACAGGUAUGAGUCAGCCCUUCUGAAGUCUGGGCAUAGCCCCAAGGAAGACAGUUAAGUACAAUGACAUAAGCAUGGUGGAACACAUCCUUGAACAGGUCAUCAUUUGCAGGGAAAGAAACCUGGAUUGCUUCCAUUUGGCGUGGCUUAUCUUCCCUCCCCACCCUUUGGCCGAUAGUCAGCCAUCUGCAUUGAGGCAGAGUCCUGAGAUAAGGAGAAACUCAGCCCUGCCCAGCAGUAGAGAGGAUGCUACCCUGCCAUGUCUGAGGCUUCAAGGAAGGACUUAUGUAGGCUUGGUAGCACAACUCACCCAUGCUCAUACACACCCACUGUCACAGUUACACACUCGUGGCAGGAGGGGCUGUGGGUGAGGGAAGAGCUUCCCAGUGAGAGACCAAAUUAUUGCAAAAGGGAACUCUGAGGAGUUAGAGCUCAAGAGAGCAGAAGGAGGCCAGAGCCUCAGAAGCAAAUGCAAAAUUCCCCUCUCCAGGAUCCCAGGAAGGCUGGGGAGGUUCUAGGAGCCCA